rnacentral:rRNA from 1 species
UGCGUAGGUGGUAUCGUAUGUCGGGUGUGAAAGCCCACGGCUCAACCGUGGAAAUGCACUCGAAACUGCGGAACUUGAGUAUAGGAGGGGAGAGCGGAAUUCUUGGUGUAGCGGUGAAAUGCGUUGAUAUCAAGAAGAACACCGGUGGCGAAGGCGGCUCUCUGGAAUAUUACUGACACUGAGGCACGAAAGCUGGGGGAGCGAACA